rnacentral:rRNA from 1 species
UACGUAGGGGGCUAGCGUUGUCCGGAAUCAUUGGGCGUAAAGAGCGUGUAGGCGGUCCGGUAAGUCCGCUGUGAAAGUCGGGGGCUCAACCCUCGAAUGCCGGUGGAUACUGUCGGGCUCGAGUGCGGAAGGGGCAAUCGGAAUUCUUGGUGUAGCGGUGAAAUGCGUAGAUAUCAAGAGGAACACCUGAGGUGAAGACGGGUUGCUGGGCCGACACUGACGCUGAAGCGCGAAAGCCAGGGGAGCAAACGGG